AGAUAUUCCUUCACUAACUCCAGGGUUUUCCUAAUUGGCCUGCAUUCAAAAUAAACAGCCAUUUGGGAGGGAGAACAAAUAGGAUGAAGAGAUCUGAGAUGUGGAGAACGAAGCUGGCCUUCUGUCUUGGUAUAAAACAGGAAUAAUUAUGUGGUCCAUGGGUGGUCUCGGCUGUGGUGUUCUGAAGCCAAGAUACACACUGUGCAGCUGUGAAUAUGCCUGAGGAGGCUGUCUCCUGGAUUUCUGAAGCAUUGUUAAUGAUCCAGAGGAAAGCAGCACCCCCUGCUCAACAGAGCUCUGGAAAUGCUCACAUUCUUCUUUCAUCUCUAUAUGAAGCUAGGUCAAAAGAUCACCUGUCAGCUUCCAUGGCCAGAAAUGAGGGCUCUGAAUCCAACUUGCAUCAUGUGGCACUGGGUAUUUUCAUGAGGAGGUUGUCAACUCUGUCACAUGACACAUGUGAAAGGAAUGAGAAGGCAGUAGAUGGACAUUGUGACACUGCCUUCCCAAUGGAAACAUGGAAGUAUUGACAAUCACAGAGUGGGAGUCUUAUGUCUGAACUUUGACACACAGGAUCUGCUGGGAAGACAUCAUCCCAACUUUCCACCAUCAGUGAGCUAGUACAGCUGAUUUAGAAUUUGUAGAAACUUACUAAUGAACUCAAGAAGAUGACCUUUGAGUUGGGUAAACUCUCAGAUAUACUGAGCGCUUGUACCAACAGGAUUUGAACAAAAGAUAGCCAUUAUGCCCA